rnacentral:rRNA from 1 species
GACGAACGUUGGCGGCGUGCUUAAUACAUGCAAGUCAACUGAAGCAGUGGUAGCAAUAUCGCUGUGGAGGUGGCGCACGGGUGAGUAGCACGUAGGUAAUCUGCCUUCAGGUCUGGCAUAACUCCGGGAAACCGGGGCUAAUAGCAGAUGAUGCAGCGGCUCGACAUCGAGACAGUUGUUAAAGCUAUGGCGCCUGAAGAUGAGCCUGCGUCUGAUUAGCUAGUUGGCGGGGUAACGGCCCACCAAGGCAACGAUCAGUAGCUGGUCUGAGAGGAUGAUCAGCAACACUGGAACUGAGACACGGUCCAGACUCCUACGGGAGGCAGCAGUAAGGAAUAUUGCUCAAUGGGAGAAAUCCUGAAGCAGCAACGCCGCGUGAGGGACGAAGGGCUUUUGCUUGUAAACCUCUGUAGUGAGAGAAAAAAAUCCCAAUCUUUGGGACAUGAUGGUAUCUCAAAAGUAAGCCCCGGCUAACUACGUG